rnacentral:rRNA from 1 species
UACGUAGGGGGCAAGCGUUGUCCGGAUUUAUUGGGCGUAAAGAGCGUGUAGGCGGCCGUACAGGUCAGCUGUGAAAACUCGAGGCUCAACCUCGAGACGUCGGUUGAAACCGUACGGCUAGAGUCCGGAAGAGGAGAGUAGAAUUCCCGGUGUAGCGGUGAAAUGCGCAGAUAUCAGGAAGAACACCCGUGGCGAAGGCGGCUCUCUGGGACGGUACUGACGCUGAGACGCGAAAGCGUGGGGAGCGAACAGG